rnacentral:rRNA from 1 species
ACUCCUACGGGAGGCAGCAGUGGGGAAUAUUGGACAAUGGGCGAAAGCCUGAUCCAGCCAUGCCGCGUGUGUGAAGAAGGUCUUCGGAUUGUAAAGCACUUUAAGUUGGGAGGAAGGGUUGUAGAUUAAUACUCUGCAAUUUUGACGUUACCGACAGAAUAAGCACCGGCUAACUCUGUGCCAGCAGCCGCGGUAAUACAGAGGGUGCAAGCGUUAAUCGGAAUUACUGGGCGUAAAGCGCGCGUAGGUGGUUCGUUAAGUUGGAUGUGAAAUCCCCCGGGCUCAACCUGGGAACUGCAUUCAAAACUGUCGAGCUAGAGUAUGGUAGAGGGUGGUGGAAUUUCCUGUGUAGCGGUGAAAUGCGUAGAUAUAGGAAGGAACACCAGUGGCGAAGGCGACCACCUGGACUGAUACUGACACUGAGGUGCGAAAGCGUGGGAGCAAACAGGAUUAGAUACCCCUGGUAGCGACUGA